AGAAGACAUAGCUGCUACUCUUGCAGCCUUGAAUACCGAAAUAGAUAUCAGCAUCAUGUACCGUGGUCUUGACCCUAAGAGCAUAUAUAGCUUAGCUUCUGUGGUUUGCUAUUAUGGACAGCAUUAUCAUUGCUUUGCAUAUAGUCAUGAACACGAUCGGUGGAUCAUGUACGAUGACAAAACUGUAAAGGUGAUCGGUAGCAGGAGUGAUGUACUUUCUAUGUGCAAGAAAGGACACUUGCAGCCACAGCUUCUUCUCUACGAGAAGCAACGUUAACCAAAAAGAAAAAGCGAAGCCAAAAAAUAGAGUAAGUGGAGAUAUGGUGCUACGGUUUAAAAGAUCUCCCAAGUACAUACUAAAAAGGAAGUAAGUAUUUUUUUUACAAUCAGAGCGAGAGGAAAAAAUGUGAUAUACUCAUCAGUGGUUGAAAGAAGAU